AUGCUGGAGGUAUCAGAAGUGCGAAUGCUGACAUAAGUAACGAUAAAGCGGGUGAAAAGCCCGCUCGCCGGAAGACCAAGGGUUCCUGUCCAACGUUAAUCGGGGCAGGGUGAGUCGACCCCUAAGGCGAGGCCGAAAGGCGUAGUCGAUGGGAAACAGGUUAAUAUUCCUGUACUUGGUGUUACUGCGAAGGGGGGACGGAGAAGGCUAUGUUGGCCGGGCGACGGUUGUCCCGGUUUAAGCGUGUAGGCUGGUUUUCCAGGCAAAUCCGGAAAAUCAAGGCUGAGGCGUGAUGACGAGGCACUACGGUGCUGAAGCAACAAAUGCCCUGCUUCCAGGAAAAGCCUCUAAGCAUCAGGUAACAUCAAAUCGUACCCCAAACCGACACAGGUGGUCAGGUAGAGAAUACCAAGGCGCUUGAGAGAACUCGGGUGAAGGAACUAGGCAAAAUGGUGCCGUAACUUCGGGAGAAGGCACGCUGAUAUGUAGGUGAGGUCCCUCGCGGAUGGAGCUGAAAUCAGUCGAAGAUACCAGCUGGCUGCAACUGUUUAUUAAAAACACAGCACUGUGCAAACACGAAAGUGGACGUAUACGGUGUGACGCCUGCCCGGUGCCGGAAGGUUAAUUGAUGGGGUUAGCGGUAACGCGAAGCUCUUGAUCGAAGCCCCGGUAAACGGCGGCCGUAACUAUAACGGUCCUAAGGUAGCGAAAUUCCUUGUCGGGUAAGUUCCGACCUGCACGAAUGGCGUAAUGAUGGCCAGGCUGUCUCCACCCGAGACUCAGUGAAAUUGAACUCGCUGUGAAGAUGCAGUGUACCCGCGGCAAGACGGAAAGACCCCGUGAACCUUUACUAUAGCUUGACACUGAACAUUGAGCCUUGAUGUGUAGGAUAGGUGGGAGGCUUUGAAGUGUGGACGCCAGUCUGCAUGGAGCCGACCUUGAAAUACCACCCUUUAAUGUUUGAUGUUCUAACGUUGACCCGUAAUCCGGGUUGCGGACAGUGUCUGGUGGGUAGUUUGACUGGGGCGGUCUCCUCCUAAAGAGUAACGGAGGAGCACGAAGGUUGGCUAAUCCUGGUCGGACAUCAGGAGGUUAGUGCAAUGGCAUAAGCCAGCUUGACUGCGAGCGUGACGGCGCGAGCAGGUGCGAAAGCAGGUCAUAGUGAUCCGGUGGUUCUGAAUGGAAGGGCCAUCGCUCAACGGAUAAAAGGUACUCCGGGGAUAACAGGCUGAUACCGCCCAAGAGUUCAUAUCGACGGCGGUGUUUGGCACCUCGAUGUCGGCUCAUCACAUCCUGGGGCUGAAGUAGGUCCCAAGGGUAUGGCUGUUCGCCAUUUAAAGUGGUACGCGAGCUGGGUUUAGAACGUCGUGAGACAGUUCGGUCCCUAUCUGCCGUGGGCGCUGGAGAACUGAGGGGGGCUGCUCCUAGUACGAGAGGACCGGAGUGGACGCAUCACUGGUGUUCGGGUUGUCAUGCCAAUGGCACUGCCCGGUAGCUAAAUGCGGAAGAGAUAAGUGCUGAAAGCAUCUAAGCACGAAACUUGCCCCGAGAUGAGUUCUCCCUGACUCCUUGAGAGUCCUGAAGGAACGUUGAAGACGACGACGUUGAUAGGCCGGGUGUGUAAGCGCAGCGAUGCGUUGAGCUAACCGGUACUAAUGAACCGUGAGGCUUAACCUUACAACGCCGAAG
rnacentral:rRNA from 1 species